rnacentral:hammerhead_ribozyme from 1 species
GCACUACUGAGGAGUCCCACAAUAGGACGAAACGGCCUUCUAGUGC